rnacentral:rRNA from 1 species
CAGCAGCCACGGUAAGACAGAGGAUGCAAGCGUUAUCCGGAAUGAUUGGGCGUAAAGCGUCUGUAGGUGGCUUUUCAAGUCCGCCGUCAAAUCCCAGGGCUCAACCCUGGACAGGCGGUGGAAACUACCAAGCUGGAGUACGGUAGGGGCAGAGGGAAUUUCCAGUGGAGCGGUGAAAUGCGUUGAGAUCGAAAAGAACACCAACAGCGAAAGCACUCUGCUGGGACGACACUGACACUAAGAGACGAAAGCUAGGGGAGCAAAUGGGAUUAGAUACCCGCGUAGUCCCUGUCUCUUAUAC